CAAGACUCCUACGGGAGGCAGCAGUGGGGAAUAUUGCAAAAUGGGGGGAACCCUGAUGCAGCAAUGCCGCGUGGGUGAAGAAGCACUCCGGUGCGUAAAGCCCUGUCAGCAGGGAAGAAAAUGACAGUACCUGACCAAGAAGCCCCGGCUAACUACGUGCCAGCAGCCGCGGUAAUACGGAGGAUGCGAGCGUUAUCCGGAUUUAUUGGGUUUAAAGGGUGCGCAGGCGGCACGGCAAGCCGGCGGUCAAAUCGCGGGGCUCAACCUCUCUCCGCCGUUGAAACUGGCGUUCUUGAGUGGGCGAGAAGUAUGCGGAAUGCGUGGUGUAGCGGUGAAAUGCAUAGAUAUCACGCAGAACUCCGAUUGCGAAGGCAGCAUACCGGCGCCCAACUGACGCUGAAGCACGAAAGCGUGGGUAUCGAACAGGAUUAGAUACCCUCGUA
rnacentral:rRNA from 1 species